GAGCAUUAUAGUGAAAUAAUUAUUUCUGUUAUACCAAAUUUAUUCUACAGCUUCUUUUUUCUGCAGUAGUUUAAUAUCAAAAUUGUUACAUAUAACAUAUUCCUUUGUGUUGCUUAUGAUAUGCCUUAGAUAGCACGGACACUUUAUUCAAUCAACGUGUUCCGUUUUGGAAACGUUUCAGACACGAAACUUCAUCUUUUACACAGAAAAUCUUAAAGUAACACCAUUUUACCGUGUCCAAUCCUAGUGUCCCGUGUCCGUGUCCGUGUCCGUGCUACCUAGGAUAUGCCUACUGAAGUAAUGGUGCCAUGAUUUGUGGGAAUUAUUUGGAAUCUUUGGAACAUGUUUGAGUUUGGGUACCUUAAACCUUUUGAGAAUUAUUUGGCCAAAAUAUGUACAAAACAAUUUACUUGUUUAUUGUAAUAACACGGGUGGGCAGGAGUGACUAUAUUUCUCACUAAAGCAAGGAAAUGAGAGCAACAUAAUUUAAUUUUGACCCAAUCUAACAGCCAGAUUCAAGAAAAUUGCUUGCUUGAUUUUAUACUAUAUAAUGAAUUAAAUCAUUUUCAUUAAAUAAAAUGAGUAAAUUAAUUCCCAAAGUCAAAAGCAUUCACAUCAUUUUAAAUAGAACUGCUAUUACUUGACUAUGCUUGCGCAGAGUUAGGUAUCUGAUCUUUUCUAAAUGCAACGUCAACUGGUAGAAGAAGUAAUUGAUCGACCAUGUCAAAACUAAAGCAAUUUUACUUACAAGCCUGGAUAUCAUGAAAUUUGAUGAUAGUGCUUACCACUUGUGUGCUCAUUUUCUGAGAUAGCAACUUUGUUCUGGUAAUAAAUUAACUUUUUCCCUUUAAAAACUAUAAGUUGUGUUCAAAUGGUCAUUUUAUUGUUCCUUUAUAGUUUUCUGACCUCAGUUAAGGAUAAAAUGAAUUAUUGUCAGCUUGGUUUUAGUAAAAACUAAUACUACUAGAGUUUUAGUGCUUGUCACAUUGCAACAGCUUUGAAAAGUAUUUGCUUAUUCAUAUUAUAUCAUUUCAGGCUAAGAAUCUGAGCACAAUUGGAAAACCUCAGAGAAGAGGAUACUGUAACUUAGAAAGUCAUUGGCUUUUAUCUUCAAAUGCUUUCCAUGUUAAAAUUGCUGCAUAUUCUACUCAUUCGUUCUGUUUUCCAGAAACACCCGAGCUCUGCUCAAGAUCAAAGUUACUUCAUAUACCAUGGAUUCAAUGGAAAAAACAUCUCAUAUUGCCAAGUUGGUCGCGCUUUCUUGCAAUUGUCUGCCCUAAUGUCUUAUUAGAGUUAUCAAACAUCUCAUAUUGCCAAGUUGGUCGCGCUUUCUUUCCUCUCCCAUUCAAGUUCAACAAGUCAUCAUCCGACAGUUCUCAAUCUCUUUCGACUUUCAUUUUCUACCAACUUUGUUUUCGCUAUUGAUCCUGAGAGACAUGCUCUUGGUGAGAAAUCUGGAUAUGGUGGCCAUGGUUUUAUCUUUAGUAUCUUGCCAUCUUUGGUUUUGAUUUUGGGGAUCCGGUGCAAUCCCUCUUUGCCUAGCAACUGCGACAAUUUGUUGAGGAUUAUCAUCUGAUCAAGUGUGCUGAAUUGUGGAUGAAACCGUGAAAGAGUUGGCUGGUUUAAGAGAGAAUGUUAUCUUCAUUGCUUUGGGCACACUGCUCCUCCCAUAUUAUUUGAAAACUGAAAUUCAUAUGCAGACCCAAUGGAGUUUACAAAUUUGCCAAGAUGGUAGGUCGCCUUUUGCAUCCACAACUUUGCAUGUCAGGGAAUAGUCGCCUUCUCAGAUCUUUUAGUCCUCAAUUUACUUAUAUCAAGUCUAGAGCUCUUUUGACAAUUGAUGAGAAAUUAUAAUCCAUUGAUCCAAUUAAUGAAAAGCCUACUUCAGCUGAAUUUGCAAUCUGCGCACAUCAACCGGAGAAGUGAAGGAAAAAAUUAUAGAGACACAAUCUUCUGUAUGUCCUUAUUAUCAUAGAAGGCUCGCAUUAGAGCACCUUGCUUUAAUGAGAUCUUCAAUUUCCGUCAUUAGUAUAAUGAGGCGAAGGUAGUUGACAUGGAAAUCGCAACUACACCAAUGCCAGAAAAUUCAGAAUAUAAUGAUUAAAUUUGAGGUGCUCAUUUUACUUGAAUUUAAAUGCACAUACUUAAUUCUAUAAACAAUAGCAACACUACACCAAAAGUUUGGUGCUCUGGUAGAUUCUUUGAAGGUAGUGUUUCCGUAUGUGCAUGUGUUAUUUACUUCAAUGGCUGGCGGUGAAUUAUAUCUUACCAACUUUUGUUUAAUGUUAUUCUGCGUUUCUAUUCCGGCCACACAUUUUUGUUCUGCUGAGGCGCUGUUUCCAUGACGGUGAUGACGAGAUGAGAACAAGAUCAAGGAACCAACUUAAUCUUCAUCUAAUAGCCUGCAAGCACCUUAGGAAAAUACCGUGCUUAAGGAUAUAAUUUACGGCGUGAAUUAUAUCCUUAAGCACACAGUAGGUGAUGGUGGAGUAGCAAAGUAAUAGAUGCAAUUGGAUAAUUUUGAAUGAGGAAGUUAAAUCUCGGCUGCUUGUAGAAAAGAAGGCCCCAGGCAAGAAGCCAACUGGUCUUGCUGCUCCUCCAUCUGGUCCACCAACUACUGUUGAUGCUUGUGAAAGUAUUUUUUCUUCUAUUCCAAACUCCAAGGAAGCAAUAGUAAGAAUGCAAGGGAAAUAAAAUAGUUUGACACAGGUGGAAAAUGCAAAAGAUUUAGCUAUGUUUUUGAGAUGUUUGUACUGUACUAACGGGAACUUCAGUUUCAGACCUGAAAACGAGGUUUCGGUCGAAAUGAGCAUGUCGACGCUCCAGUAAAAUGUUUAAAAGUUUUAGAAACUUGUUUUGGGAAUUUAGUGACUUUAUUUAGAAAGGUGGAUUUGAGUCAUAGCAUAGUUGGGAUCAGGAAAUCCUUUAAUAAUGGCAAUUCGUGGUUUUCCUGAUUUAUGUGUUUUUGCGUGUUUUGGUGUAAUCGAGUGUUUUCCUUGUGUGUGGUUUGUCUCGAUGAUUUUGUUUGUUAGAAUUCUAGAGUUAGAUGUGGUCGUUGUCGUAUCGUUUGUUAACUUAAUCGAUUUGUAUUAGACCCGCCUAUAUCGAGGGAGUCGGAGUCGAGGUAGAUCUCGAAGAGCGAUCUAGUGAUGGAGAUUGUACCGUGAUUACGCGGUUUUUAUGA